GGGCGUGUAGCUCAGCCGGGAGAGCGUCAGGCUCGCAUUCUGAAGGCCACGGGUUCGAGUCCCGUCACGUCCACCA
rnacentral:tRNA from 1 species